UACGAAGGGGCUAGCGUUGCUCGGAAUCACUGGGCGUAAAGCGCACGUAGGCGGAUUGUUAAGUCGGGGGUGAAAUCCUGGAGCUCAACUCCAGAACUGCCUUCGAUACUGGCGAUCUUGAGUCCGGGAGAGGUGAGUGGAACUCCGAGUGUAGAGGUGAAAUCGUAGAUAUUCGCAAGAACACCAGUGGCGAAGGCGGCUCACUGGCCCGAUACUGACGCUGAGGCACGAAAGCGUGGGGAGCAAACAGGG
rnacentral:rRNA from 1 species